AACGAACGCUGGCGGCAUGCCUAACACAUGCAAGUCGAACGAGACCUUCGGGUCUAGUGGCGCACGGGUGCGUAACGCGUGGGAACCUUCCCUUAGGCUCGGAAUAACUCCCCGAAAGGGGUGCUAAUACCGGAUAAUGUCUUCGGACCAAAGAUUUAUCGCCUUUGGAUGGGCCCGCGUUGGAUUAGCUUGUUGGUAGGGUAAAAGCCUACCAAGGCUACGCUCCAUAGCUGGUCUGAGAGGAUGAUCAGCCACACUGGGACUGAGACACGGCCCAGAAUCCUACGGGAGGGAGCAGUGGGGAAUAUAGGACAAUGGGCGAAAGGCUGAACCAGCAAGGCCGGGAGAGUGAUGAAGGCGUUAGGGUUGUAAAGCUCUUUUACCCGGGAUGAUAAUGACAGUACCGGGAGAAUAAGCUCCGGCCAACUCCGUG
rnacentral:rRNA from 1 species